GGGUCUCUAUGGGUCUCUAAGGGGAGCUAUGGGGAGCUAUGGAGAGCUAUGGGUCUCUAUGGGGAGCUAUGGGGUCUCUAUGGGUCUCUAUGGGGAGCUAUGGGGCACUAUGGGGUAUCUAUGGGUCUCUAUGGGUCUCUAUGGGUCUCUAUGGGGAGCUAUGGGGUCCUAUGGAUCUCUAUGGGGAGCUAUGGGGAGCUAUGGGGAGCUAUGGGGAGCUAUGGAGUCCUAUGGGUCUCUAUGGGGAGCUAUGGGGAGCUAUGGAGUCCCAUGGGUCUCUAUGGGUCUCUAUGGGGAGCUAUGGGGUCUCUAUGGGUCUCUAUGGGGAGCUAUGGGGAGCUAUGGGUCCCUAUGGGUCCCUAUGGGUCUCUAUGGGUCUCUAUAGGGUCCUAUGGGUCCCUAUGGGUCUCUAUGGGGUCCUAUGGGUCCCUAUGGGUCUCUAUGGGUCUCUAUGGGGUCUCUAUUGGUCUCUAUGGGGUCUCUAUAGGGUCCUAUGGGUCCCUAUGGGUCUCUAUGGGUCUCUAUGGGGUCUCUAUGGGGUCUCUAUGGGGUCCUAUGUGUCUCUAUGGGUCUCUAUGGGGUCUCUAUGGGGCACUAUAGGGCACUAUGGGGUCUCUAUGGGUCUCUAUGGGGUCUCUAUGGGUCCCCAUGGGGUCUCUAUGGGUAUCCAUGUGUCUCUAUGGGUCUCUAUGGGUUGCUAUGGGUCGCUAUGGGUAUCCAUGUGUCCCUAUGGGUCUCUAUGGGUCUCUAUGGGUCCCUAUGGGGUCUCCAUGGGGUCUCCAUGGGUCUCUAUAGGGUCCUAUGGGUCCCUAUGUGUCUCUAUGGGGUCCCUAUGGGUUGCUAUGGGUCGCUAUGGGUUGCUAUGGAGAUGCCGGUUGCCAUGGCGACUUACGAAGCCGUUGCCCAUAAUGCGGUAGAGGCCUUUGAGCGACUCCAGGUCCUUGUUGGUGAAAUGGAACUGCACCAUGCGGGAGUUCCUGAACAGCGGCCCCAAAGUCGUCUGAAAACCAAAGGAGGGGGGGGUCAAAAAAUAUCCCGGGGUNNNNNNCCCCCCCCCCCAUUGGUGAAGGAACGACCCCCAUAAUCCACCCUAUUUGUUUUUUUUUUGGGGGGGGGAAUACGAUUUAGCAGCUAUUAAUCUGCCAAGACCUGCCCAUACAUCUCAAUAAGAUGGAGCAGCUAUUAAGCUGCAAGGACCUGCCCAUAGAUCUCAAUGGAACACCUCACAGUGCCCCCCCCUCUAAAAGCAAAUGGGGAGGGUCAAAAAAUAUCCUGGGGGGGGGGCGGCACCCCAAGACCCCCCCACACCCCACAGUGAAGGAACGACCCCCAUAAUCCACCCUAUUUAUUUUUUUUGGGGGGGAGAAUAUGAUUUAGCAACUAUUAAUCUGCCAAGACCUGCCCAUACAUCUCAAUAAGAUAGAGCAGCUAUUAAGCUGCAAGGACCUGCCCAUAGGUCUCAAUGGAACCCCUCACAGUGCCCUCCCC
rnacentral:lncRNA from 1 species